rnacentral:rRNA from 1 species
UACGUAGGGUGCAAGCGUUUAAUCGGAAUUACUGGGCGUAAAGCGUGCGCAGGCGGUUAUGUAAGACAGAUGUGAAAUGCCCGGGCUUAACCUGGGAACUGCAUUUGUGACUGCAUGGCUAGAGUGUGUCAGAGGGGGGUAGAAUUCCACGUGUAGCAGUGAAAUGCGUAGAUAUGUGGAGGAAUACCGAUGGCGAAGGCAGCCCCCUGGGAUAACACUGACGCUCAUGCACGAAAGCGUGGGGAGCAAACAGG